UACAGAGGUCCCGAGCGUUGUUCGGAUUCACUGGGCGUAAAGGGUGCGUAGGUGGCAGGGUAAGUCGGAUGUGAAAGCUCGGAGCUCAACUCCGAAAUGGCAUUGGAAACUACCCAGCUCGAGGGUUGGAGGGGGGACUGGAAUGCUUGGUGUAGCAGUGAAAUGCGUAGAUAUCAAGCGGAACACCGGUGGCGAAGGCGAGUCCCUGGACAACUCCUGACACUGAGGCACGAAAGCUAGGGGAGCAAACAGG
rnacentral:rRNA from 1 species